UGUGUCAAAGAAAUAGAAACAGUGUCACUGUUUUUCUUGGACUUUUCUGUAUUUGUGUAUUGUUUAGUCUCUUCAUAUUGAAGAUUUGACUUUAGGUAGUGUCUAUUUCAUUUUACAGGAAAAUGUAGAUGAAGCAGUAAAGAAACUGAGAGAUGGAGGAAUUGAAGUAUGUCAUGUCUCAAAUGCACAACAGAGGAAGAAUUUGAUAGACAAGACCAUUCAGGUUUGUGGCAGUUACCUGAAGCAUUUGGCCCCCGUUUGCAGGUCCGAUCGAAGUUUAGAGAAUUUAGCAUCAAUUAACAUA